GAUGAACGCUGGCGGCGUGCUUAACACAUGCAAGUCGAACGAUGAAGCCCAGCUUGCUGGGUGGAUUAGUAGCGAACGGGUGAGUAACACGUGAGUAACCUGCCCUUGACUCUGGGAUAAGCGCUGGAAACGGCGUCUAAUACCGGAUACGAGCUUCCACCGCAUGGUGAGUUGCUGGAAAGAAUUUCGGUCAAGGAUGGACUCGCGGCCUAUCAGGUAGUUGGUGAGGUAACGGCUCACCAAGCCGACGACGGGUAGCCGGCCUGAGAGGGUGACCGGCCACACUGGGACUGAGACACGGCCCAGACUCCUACGGGAGGCAGCAGUGGGGAAUAUUGCACAAUGGGCGCAAGCCUGAUGCAGCAACGCCGCGUGAGGGACGAAGGCCUUCGGGUCGUAAACCUCUUUUAGCAGGGAAGAAGCGAAAGUGACGGUACCUGCAGAAAAAGCACCGGCUAACUACGUG
rnacentral:rRNA from 1 species